GACGAACGCUGGCGGCGUGCCUAAUACAUGCAAGUAGAACGCUGAAGGAGGAGCUUGCUUCUCUGGAUGAGUUGCGAACGGGUGAGUAACGCGUAGGUAACCUGCCUGGUAGCGGGGGAUAACUAUUGGAAACGAUAGCUAAUACCGCAUAAGAGUAGAUGUUGCAUGACAUUUGCUUAAAAGGUGCAAUUGCAUCACUACCAGAUGGACCUGCGUUGUAUUAGCUAGUUGGUGAGGUAACGGCUCACCAAGGCAACGAUACAUAGCCGACCUGAGAGGGUGAUCGGCCACACUGGGACUGAGACACGGCCCAGACUCCUACGGGAGGCAGCAGUAGGGAAUCUUCGGCAAUGUACGGAAGUCUGACCGAGCAACGCCGCGUGAGUGAAGAAGGUUUUCGGAUCGUAAAGCUCUGUUGUAAGAGAAGAACGAGUGUGAGAGUGGAAAGUUCACG
rnacentral:rRNA from 1 species